AACAUCGAUAAUAGAUGAUGUCUGAUGGCUUUUUAUUAUUUUAUUUAGACCCAGUGUGUGACCGGGCCACGGAACCGGCUCUGCUCCAACUCACAGAGGUUCCUCAGGACCAGCUCAUGGACACUGUGACUGAGGCUGAGGAGAAGACUCAGAAGCUUCUGGUGUCCAAUACUCAGCUGCAGGAGAGAGUGAGGGAGCUGGAGGAACUGCUCUGUGAGGCACGCAGAGAUGACAUGAAAAGCAAGGUCUCCCUGACUGAAGCGGUGGAGAAACACCAGAAGGCUGAGGAGACCAUCACUCAGCUGCAGAUGGAGAAGGCUGACCUGACCAACCAGGUGGAGACACAGCGAGGAAAAUGCAGGACGUGGAGAAGCUGCUGUCUGAGACUCACAGGAUGUUUGAUGAUCUAAUGAAUGAGUAUCAGAUGAAGAACGAUGAGAUGAAAAAGCGUCUGAUAGACGCAGAGGAGAUACUGAAGUUCUCCAUGACUGAGGCUGAGGAGUCCAUCACUCAGCUGCAGAUGGAGAAGGCUGACCUGACCAACCAGGUGGAGACACUGCAAGAGACAGUGCAGUACUUGGGGAACCUCCUCAAUGAGACUCACAGGUGCUCUGAUGAUCUAAUGAAUGAGUAUCAGAUGAAGAACGAUGAGACGGAGAAGCGUCUGAUAGACGCAGAGGAGAUACUGAAGGCCUCCCUGACUGAAGUGGAGAAGAAACACCAGAAGGCUGAGGAGACCAUCACUCUGCUGCAGGUGGAGAAGGCUGACCUGAAAGAUCAUGUGAAGACACUGCAAGGAAGAGUGCAGGACAUGGGGAACCUGCUCACUGAGACUGACAGAGAGUGUGACAUGCUAAUGAAUGAGUGUGAGUGUGAGCGAGAGGCUUACAGCAACCUCAAGUCCGAGUACGAGGAGAUGAAGGAGACUCUCAUCAACAAGGAGGAGAUACUGAAGGUCUCCCUGACUGAAGCGGAGGAGAAACACCAGAAGGCUGAGGAGACCAUCACUCUGCUGCAGGUGGAGAAGGCUGACCUGACCACCCAGGUGGAGACACUGCAAGAGACAGUGCAGGACUUGGAGACCCUGCUGUCUGAGACUCACAUCUGGGCUGCUGCUCUAAUGAAUGAGUAUCAGAUGAAGAACGAUGAGAUGAAAAAGCGUCUGAUAGACGCAGAGGAGAUACUGAAGGUCUCCCUGACUGAAGCGGUGGAGAAACACCAGAAGGCUGAGGAGACCAUCACUCAGCUGCAGAUGGAGAAGGCUGACCUGACCAACCAGGUGGAGACACUGCAAGAGACAGUGCAGUACUUGGGGAACCUCCUCAAUGAGACUCACGGGUGCUCUGAUGAUCUAAUGAAUGAGUGUGAGUGUGAGCGAGAGGCUUACAGCAACCUCAAGUCCGAGUACGAGGAGAUGAAGGAGACUCUCAUCAACAAGGAGGAGAUACUGAAGGCCUCCCUGACUGAAGUGGAGGAGAAACACCAGAAGGCUGAGGAGUCCAUCACUCUGCUGCAGGUGGAGAAGGCUGACCUGACCACCCAGGUGGAGAGACUGCGAGAGACAGUGCAGUACUUGGGGAACCUGUUCACUGAGGCUCAGAUGGAGUGUGAUGAGCUAAGAGAU
ensembl:lncRNA